rnacentral:rRNA from 1 species
AGUACNGUCNCAAGGCUGAAACUUAAGGAANUUGGCGGGGGAGCNCUGCAACGCGAGGAGCGUGCGGUUUAANUGGAUUCAACGCCGGAAAACUCACCAUGGCCGACUGUUAGAUGAAGAUCAGCGUAAUGAGCUUAUCGGAUUUUCAGAGAGGUGGUGCAUGGCCGUCGUCAGUUCGUACUGUAAAGCGUUCUGUUAAGUCAGAUAACGAACGAGACCCUCAUCUCUAUUUGCUACCCUUCUCUCCGGAGGAGGCGCACCAUAGAGAGACCGCUGGUGCUAAACCAGAGGAAGGCGAGGGCAACGACAGGUCAGUAUGCCCCGAAUGUCAUGGGCUACACGCGCGCUACAAAGGACGGGACAAUGGGAAGCCAGAUCGAGAGAUCGAGCUAACCCGAAACCCGUUCAUAGUUCGGAUUGUGGGCUGUAACUCGCCCACAUGAAGCUGGAUUGCGUAGUAAUCGUGUUUCAACAUAGCACGGUGAAUAUGCCCCUGCUCCUUGCACACACCGCCCGUCAAACCAUCUUAGUUGGGGGUGGGUGAGGCUGCGCUUUAUGGCGUAUUCGAGCCUGUCUUUAACAAGGAGGGUUAAGUCGUAACAAGGUAACC